rnacentral:rRNA from 1 species
GACGAACGCUGGCGGCGUGCUUAACACAUGCAAGUCGAACGGAAAGGCCCUGCUUUUGUGGUGUGCACGAGUGGCGAUCGGGUGAGUAACACGUGAGUAACCUGCCCUUGACUUUGGGAUAACUUCAGGUAACGGGGGCUACUACCGGAUAGCAGCUCCUGCUGCAUGGUGGGGGUUGGAAAGUUUGGGCGGGCGGGGAUGGACUCGCGGCUUAUCGGCUUGUUGGUGGGGUAGUGGCUUACCCAGUCUUUGGCGGGUAGCCGGCCUGAGUGGGUGACCGGCGCCAUGGGUACUGCGAGAGGCCCCAGUCGGGAACGGUGGACAACGGGGGGAAUUAUGGUCCAGUGGGGGGAAGCGGGUGGAGGAAACCCCCGGGGGGGAAUGCCGGCUUUCGGGUGGAAAACCGCUUCAGCUUGUGACGAAGCUGGUGUGACGGUACUGGGAAAAGAAGCACCGGCUAACUACGUG